GACGUCAGGGCCCUCGGGCCCCGCCCCCCAGCAGGCCGAGGACCAAUCCGCAGAGGGUGCAGGGUCUGAGGGGAGGGGCAGAGCCCGGGCCCCACGGAGGGCGGAGGGGGUACCCGGGAGAAGCAGAGAUUGGAAGGAGGAGCAGGGGGCCUGCCCUCCACCCCCACACUCUGGGCCCGAGACUCCUCGCUCCUCCUCGCCUCGCCUCGCCUCGAGUCUCUGGCUCCGACCUCUCUACUCCCUUGUUUCUGACCUGUGCUCCGUGGUGUCUCUGAUCUCCCCCUGCCGCCAGGGGAAAGGAGGUCUUCACCUCCGGGACCCCCACCCCCCACCCCCGUCCCCUCCCUGCCCCCUAUCCGUUCAGCCUCGGCUUUCUCGGCGAGAAAGCGCAGAUGGCUCCCGGCUGCUAACCCAGGAGGCUAAGGAGCAGCCCUAGAGACUGCGCAUCUGCAUGUCUGUGCCUGGGCUGGACCCGCCUGCACCAGCCAGGCCGAGCCAACCUCUCCUGGGGUGGAGGAUGGGAAUCCAGACGAAGCCUAAGGGCUCAGCGCCUGGAACCACUUGGGACAGAGAGUGGGGAGCAGACUGGCAACGAAGGGCCUUGGGCUCUGCGGAGGUUCCCAGCAGCAGAGCAGGCGCCUACAAUGGUGCCAAGGCAACCGGAGGGGGUGGCGGCCCACCCCCUCGCACCACCCCAGAGCCAGCUGGCCUAAGGAACAUCCCUCCCAGGACUCACUCACACCUAUUCUCCAACUCUGCCUACCUGCUCAAUUCACCUGAUGCUCUGCCAGUGGAUUGCUGAUGUCUCUACAUUGAUUCAGAUUUGCACCCACAUCUGAAAAUGGUCAGCAGGCAGGGACCCUCUGUCACCACAGGUGGAGGAAGAGGAGAUGAAAGAGCCUUGUCUGACACCCUGGAGACUGGGAAACUACCCAGACUGUGUCCUCUCCCUCUUACUCUCCUAAAGGAAGACAAGGAAGACAAUGACAAAUGGCGUUUGCAGCAAAGCAACACCAACAGCCAACUUGAUGCUCAAGAGAGAACGCUAUGCCUCUUCCUCAUGGUUUCCAGUGCUCUACACAUUCUGAGAAACUUUUCUGGUUCUACUUCUGGAGGGAACCCAAACCAACACAUUUGAUAUCCAAAGUUGUCCUAGGAAGUAGACCCCCAGGAUAAGAUUCUGGUUUUGGAUCACUCAUCAUCCAGAUGGCCCAAAGAUUCCAUUGCUGAGUAGAGACGGGUUUUCACCAUGUUGACCAGUCUGGUCUCAAACUCAUGACCUCAAGUGAUCCAUCUGCCUUGGCCUCCCAAAGUGCUGAGAUUACAGGAGUGAGCCAUCACGCCUGGCCUGGGAUUUAACAUUUUAAAGCUUGGCAAGGACACCAGAAGCCUGUUGCAAUAUGCCCCCGGGAUAGAUCUUCAAAGUGUGGAAAAACUAUGAGUUCCAGCAAAUGAGGUAGAGAUGUUGGAACUUCCUUGACAGAAUACUUGGAAGAAUAAAGGCUCAGAAAAGUGGGCAUGCCAGAAUAAAAUGACUAUUAUAUAAGACUAUAGAACCCUCCAGCCUACUGUGUUCUUCAUGAGGGCCCAGAAAUACUCAAUAAAUAAAGUGAUACAAAAGGUGCUAGUUGGAACAGGGCCACUGGCAUUUGCAGGUCAGUGGUAGCUGUCCUCAGCAGGCCAGAGCAAUGGUAGCGGGAGCUGCUAUGGGACUAGCCUUUCUAGAGUCAGUGGGUAUAACAGGAGUCCAGAACGAGGUCAGGCGACAGCACGUGGUCAUGAGAGGCUAAGUGGACAUAAUUACCGUAAUAGGCAGAAAGACCAGAAAUGUAAGCAG
rnacentral:lncRNA from 1 species